rnacentral:misc_RNA from 1 species
UCUCCGUUGGUGAACCAGCGGAGGGAUCAUUACCGAGUUUACAACUCCCAAACCCAAUGUGAACGUUACCAAACUGUUGCCUCGGCGGGGUCACGCCCCGGGUGCGUCGCAGCCCCGAAACCAGGCGCCUGCCGGAGGAACCAACCAAACUCUUUCUGUAGUCCCCUCGCGGACGUUAUUUCUUACAGCUCUGAGCAAAAAUUCAAAAUGAAUCAAAACUUUCAACAACGGAUCUCUUGGUUCUG